rnacentral:rRNA from 1 species
AGCAGUCGCCGCGGUAAUACGGAGGGGGCUAGCGUUGUUCGGAAUUACUGGGCGUAAAGCGCACGUAGGCGGCUUUACAAGUCAGAGGUGAAAGCCUGGUGCUCAACACCAGAAUUGCCUUUGAGACUGUAUCGCUUGAACGUCGGAGAGGUGAGUGGAAUUCCGAGUGUAGAGGUGAAAUUCGUAGAUAUUCGGAAGAACACCAGUGGCGAAGGCGGCUCACUGGACGACUGUUGACGCUGAGGUGCGAAAGCGUGGGGAGCAAACAGGAUUAGAUACCCCCGUAGUCCCUGUCUCUUAUAA